AAACUAACAAGGAUUCCCCUAGUAACGGCGAGUGAACCGGGAAGAGCUCAAAUUUGAAAUCUGGCGUGCUCAGUGCGUCCGAGUUGUAAUCUAUAGAGUCGUUUUCCGUGCCGGACUGUGUCCAAGUCCCUUGGAACAGGGUAUCAAAGAGGGUGAUAAUCCCGUACUUGACACAAUGACCGGUGCUCUGUGAUACGUCUUCUACGAGUCGAGUUGUUUGGGAAUGCAGCUCAAAAUGGGUGGUGAGUUCCAUCUAAAGCUAAAUAUUGGCGAGAGACCGAUAGCGAACAAGUACCGUGAGGGAAAGAUGAAAAGCACUUUGGAAAGAGAGUUAAACAGUACGUGAAAUUGUUAAAAGGGAAACGAUUGAAGUCAGUCGUGACUGAGAGGCUCAGCCGGUUCUGCCGGUGUAUUCCCCUCAGUCGGGUCAACAUCAGUUUUGUUCGGUGGAUAAGGGCAGUUGGAAGGUGGCACCCUCGGGUGUGUUAUAGCCAGCUGUCGCAUACAUCGGAUGAGACUGAGGAAUGCAGCUCGCCUUUAUGGCCGGGGUUCGCCCACGUUCGAGCUUAGGAUGUUGACAUAAUGGCUUUAAACGACCCGUCUUGAAACACG
rnacentral:rRNA from 1 species